rnacentral:rRNA from 1 species
ACGAACGCUGGCGGCAUGCCUCACACAUGCAAGUCGAACGAGACCUUCGGGUCUAGUGGCGCACGGGUGCGUAACGCGUGGGAACCUGCCCUUAGGUUCGGAAUAACUCCCCGAAAGGGGUGCUAAUACCGGAUAAUGUCUUCGGACCAAGGAUUUAUCGCCUUUGGAUGGGCCCGCGUUGGAUUAGCUAGUUGGUAGGGUAAAAGCCUACCAAGGCGACGAUCCAUAGCUGGUCUGAGAGGAUGAUCAGCCACACUGGGACUGAGACACGGCCCAGACUCCUACGGGAGGCAGCAGUGGGGAAUAUUGGACAAUGGGCGAAAGCCUGAUCCAGCAAUGCCGCGUGAGUGAUGAAGGCCUUAGGGUUGUAAAGCUCUUUUACCCGGGAUGAUAAUGACAGUACCGGGAGAAUAAGCUCCGGCUAACUCCGUG